AUGCAAAUCCCAUGGAUUUUCCUUGUGUCUUUGGCUUGGGUUUAUGGAGACACCAAAAUGAGAAUAGCUCAAGAUCAACUCUCUUUUACCCGGACACCAGACAAAACAGUGCACAUAACCUGCAAGCUGUCUGGGGUUCCCCUUGAGAAUGCCAUUGUGCACUGGUAUGAACAAAAAGAGGGGGAGCCCCUGAGACGAAUCCUUUAUGGCUCAACCAAAAAUAACAAGGAUGACCAGCUCAAUCCCCGCUUGGAGACAUAUAGGAAAGAUGAUGGAAUCUUUUACCUGAUAAUCAAUAAUGUCAUGAAGUCCGAUGAAGCCACCUACUACUGUGCCUGCUGGGAUCUCACAAUGCUGCAGAGUCAAAGGAACCUGUAA